AGAGUUUGAUCAUGGCUCACAGUGAACGCUGGCGGCGUGGCUAAGGCAUGCAAGUCGCACGGGGCAGCAAUGCCCAGUGGCGCAAGGGUGAGUAAUGGAUAGCUAACGUACCUUUAACUGGGGCAUAGCCAGUCGAAAGAUUGGGUAAUUCCCCAUAAAGUCGCGAUGCAGCAUUGUAUUGCGAUCAAAGAUGAGGACCG
rnacentral:rRNA from 1 species